AAAGUCUCUCUCUGGCAAGGUAGGUCAACCACCAGAUAGUUAACAUCGGGCAGGCGGAGGAAACUCCAAAUGUUAAGCACGAUGGGCACAAGCCAGCAGGCCGUAUGCGAAAGUUGAAAUGAUUUAGCCUCGAAAUGAUUUUACGUAAGCAGGACGACAGAGUUCCCCUUCUGAAGUCCCCAUUCUAUGACGCGCAUGACAAGUAUCAUAGAGCUGCUUCGGGGUUGUAAGCA
rfam:Methyloprofundus sedimenti strain WF1 Contig003, whole genome shotgun sequence.